rnacentral:rRNA from 1 species
CCUACGGGAGGCAGCAGUAGGGAAUCUUCCGCAAUGGACGAAAGUCUGACGGAGCAACGCCGCGUGAACGAUGAAGGCCUUCGGGUCGUAAAGUUCUGUUGUUAGGGAAGAACAAGUGCUAGUUAAAUAAGCUGGCACCUUGACGGUACCUAACCAGAAAGCCACGGCUAACUACGUGCCAGCAGCCGCGGUAAUACGUAGGUGGCAAGCGUUGUCCGGAAUUAUUGGGCGUAAAGCGCGCGCAGGCGGUUUCUUAAGUCUGAUGUGAAAGCCCCCGGCUCAACCGGGGAGGGUCAUUGGAAACUGGGAAACUUGAGUGCAGAAGAGGAAAGUGGAAUUCCAAGUGUAGCGGUGAAAUGCGUAGAGAUUUGGAGGAACACCAGUGGCGAAGGCGACUUUCUGGUCUGUAACUGACGCUGAGGCGCGAAAGCGUGGGGAGCAAACAGGAUUAGAUACCCUGGUAGUCCACGCUGUAAACGAUGAGUGCUAAGUGUUAGAGGGUUUCCGCCCUUUAGUGCUGAAGUUAACACAUUAAGCACUCCGCCGUGGGGAGCGGUGCAAGCUGAAACUNAAAGGAUUGCGG